rnacentral:rRNA from 1 species
UACGUAGGUGGCAAGCGUUGUCCGGAAUUACUGGGCGUAAAGCGUGCGCAGGCGGUUAUGCAAGACAGAUGUGAAAUCCCCAGGCUCAACCUGGGAACUGCAUUUGUGACUGCAUGGCUAGAGUACGGUAGAGGGGGAUGGAAUUCCGCGUGUAGCAGUGAAAUGCGUAGAUAUGCGGAGGAACACCGAUGGCGAAGGCAAUCCCCUGGACCUGUACUGACGCUCAUGCACGAAAGCGUGGGGAGCAAACAGG